rnacentral:rRNA from 1 species
AUACAUGCAAGUCGAGCGGACAGAUGGGAGCUUGCUCCCUGAUGUUAGCGGCGGACGGGUGAGUAACACGUGGGUAACCUGCCUGUAAGACUGGGAUAACUCCGGGAAACCGGGGCUAAUACCGGAUGCUUGAUUGAACCGCAUGGUUCAAUUAUAAAAGGUGGCUUUUAGCUACCACUUACAGAUGGACCCGCGGCGCAUUAGCUAGUUGGUGAGGUAACGGCUCACCAAGGCGACGAUGCGUAGCCGACCUGAGAGGGUGAUCGGCCACACUGGGACUGAGACACGGCCCAGACUCCUACGGGAGGCAGCAGUAGGGAAUCUUCCGCAAUGGACGAAAGUCUGACGGAGCAACGCCGCGUGAGUGAUGAAGGUUUUCGGAUCGUAAAACUCUGUUGUUAGGGAAGAACAAGUACCGUUCGAAUAGGGCGGUACCUUGACGGUACCUAACCAGAAAGCCACGGCUAACUACGUGCCAGCAGCCGCGGUAAUACGUAGGUGGCAAGCGUUGUCCGGAAUUAUUGGGCGUAAAGCGCGCGCAGGCGGUUUCUUAAGUCUGAUGUGAAAGCCCCCGGCUCAACCGGGGAGGGUCAUUGGAAACUGGGGAACUUGAGUGCAGAAGAGGAGAGUGGAAUUCCACGUGUAGCGGUGAAAUGCGUAGAGAUGUGGAGGAACACCAGUGGCGAAGGCGACUCUCUGGUCUGUAACUGACGCUGAGGCGCGAAAGCGUGGGGAGCGAACAGGAUUAGAUACCCUGGUAGUCCACGCCGUAAACGAUGAGUGCUAAGUGUUAGAGGGUUUCCGCCCUUUAGUGCUGCAGCAAACGCAUUAAGCACUCCGCCUGGGGAGUACGGUCGCAAGACUGAAACUCAAAGGAAUUGACGGGGGCCCGCACAAGCGGUGGAGCAUGUGGUUUAAUUCGAAGCAACGCGAAGAACCUUACCAGGUCUUGACAUCCUCUGACAACCCUAGAGAUAGGGCUUCCCCUUCGGGGGCAGAGUGACAGGUGGUGCAUGGUUGUCGUCAGCUCGUGUCGUGAGAUGUUGGGUUAAGUCCCGCAACGAGCGCAACCCUUGAUCUUAGUUGCCAGCAUUCAGUUGGGCACUCUAAGGUGACUGCCGGUGACAAACCGGAGGAAAGGUGGGGAUGACGUCAAAUCAUCAUGCCCCUUAUGACCUGGGCUACCACCGGGCUACAAUGGGCAAAACAAAGGGCAGCGAAACCCGGAAGGUUAACCAAUCCCCAGAAUCUGUUUCUCAGUUCGGAUC